AACGACUCUCGGCAACGGAUAUCUCGGCUCUCGCAUCGAUGAAGAACGCAGCGAAAUGCGAUACUUGGUGUGAAUUGCAGGAUCCCGCGAACCAUCGAGUCUUUGAACGCAAGUUGCGCCUGAAGCCUUUUGGCCGAGGGCACGUCUGCCUGGGUG
rnacentral:rRNA from 1 species